GACCAUUAUUUGGGUAACACACUAAAGAUGAACUGUUCUCCAGGCUUAGUAUCUGUGAUACUCUUACUGCUUGAACCCAUGGAGAUUCAGUGACCCAGAUGGAAGGACCAGUGACUCUCUCAGAAGAGGCCUUCCUGACUAUAAACUGCACGUACACAGCCACAGGAUACCCUACCCUUUUCUGGUAUGUCCAAUAUCCUGGAGAAGGUCCACAGCUCCUCCUGAAAGCCACGAGGGCUGAUGACAAGGGAAGCAACAAAGGUUUUGAAGCCACAUACCGUAAAGAAACCACUUCUUUCCACUUGGAGAAAGACUCAGUUCAAGAGUCAGACUCAGCGGUGUACUUCUGUGCUCUGAAAGAUGCUAAUGCUGGUGGUGCUGGCUAUGGAAAGCUGACAUUUGGACAAGGGACCAUCUUGACUAUCCAUCCAAAUAUCCAGAACCCUGACCCUGCCGUGUACCAGCUGAGAGACUCUAAAUCCAGUGACAAGUCUAUCUGCCUAUUCACCGAUUUUGAUUCUCAAAUAAAUGUGUCACAAAGUAAGGAUUCCGACGUGUAUAUCACAGACAAAACUGUGCUAGACAUGAGGUCUAUGGACUUCAAGAGCAACAGUGCUGUGGCCUGGAGCAACAAAUCUGAUUUUGCAUGUGCAAACGCCUUCAACGACAGCAUUGUUCCAGCAGACACCUUCUUCCCCAGCCCAGAAAGUCUCUGUGAUGUCAAGCUGGUCGAGAAAAGCUUUGAAACAGAUAUGAACCUAAACUUUCAAAACCUGUCAGUGAUGGGGUUCCGAAUCCUCCUCCUGAAAGUGGCCGGGUUUAAUCUGCUCAUGACGCUGCGGCUGUGGUCCAGCUGAGAUCUGCAAGAUUGUAUGACAGCCUGUGCUCCCUUGCUCCUUCCUCCGCAUCACCCCUCUUCUCCCUCUCCAAAUAGAGGGAACUCUCCCACCCCCAUGGAGGAGACAGCUGCUACCACCUCUGUGCCCCCGCCGGCAAUGCCCCAACUGGAUCCUACCUGAAUUUGUGAUUAAGAUUGCUGAAGAGCUGCAAAACACUGCUGUCACCCUCUCUGUUCCCUUAUUGCUGCUUGGCACUGCCUGACAUUCACGGCAGAGGCAAGGCUGCUGCAGCCUCCCCUGGCUGUGCACAUUCCCUCCCGAUCCCCAGAGACUGCCUCCGCCAUCCCACAGAUGAUGGAUCCUCAGUUGGUUCUCUUGGGCUCGAGGUCCUGGAGAAUGUUGUGAGGGGUUUAUAUUUUUUAAAUAGUGUUCAUAAAGAAAUACAUACUAUUCUUCUUCUCAAGACGUGGGGGGAAAUUACCUCAUUAUGGAAGCCCUGCUAUGCUGUGUAUCUGGGCGUGUUGUAUAUCCUGCUGCCAAUGGCUUCAUUAAAAUGAUUUGGAGGAGCAGA